CGGCGGACGGGUGGAGUAAUGCCUAGGAAUCUGCCUGGUAGUGGGGGACGAACGUUUCGAAAGGAACGCUAAUACCGCAUACGUCCUACGGGAGAAAGCAGGGACCUUCGGGCCUUGCGCUAUCAGAUGAGCCUAGGUCGGAUUAGCUAGUUGGUGAGGUAAUGGCUCACCAAGGCGACGAUCCGUAACUGGUCUGAGAGGAUGAUCAGUCACACUGGAACUGAGACACGGUCCAGACUCCUACGGGAGGCAGCAGCC
rnacentral:rRNA from 1 species